UACAGAAGCCCCGAGCGUUACCCGGAUUCACUGGGCGUAAAGGGUGCGUAGGCGGUUAUGUUAGUCGGGUGUUAAAACCUGGGGCUCAACUCCAGGAUCGCUUCCGAAACGGCAUAACUAGAAGGAGUCAGAGGCAAGCAGAACUCUCGGUGUAGGGGUGAAAUCCGUUGAUAUCGAGGGGAAUACCAAACGCGAAGGCAGCUUGCUGGGACUUUCUUGACGCUGAGGCACGAAAGCGUGGGUAGCGAACGGG
rnacentral:misc_RNA from 1 species